AUCAUCAUCUCAGUAGGUGCAUCAGCUUCCACGCCAUUUGCGCUAUAACGGUUAGCAAGUAGCAACGAAGCUUCGAGAGAGAGAAAGAAAGAGUUGGGUUUUCAGUUCAGUAGGGUUUCGCUAUCUACAUAGUACAUACCAGAGACACACACAGCGAAGAACCAUCAUCGCUUCUGACUCCCACUGGUUGAUAAAUAGCAGUUGGUUGGAACAAUAAGAGAGACAAUCCAAGUAACAGAAGGUUGGAAGAGGGAUGAAAAGAUAUAGAAUAGUUUACAAGUAAAAAAGAAGAGGAAAGAAUGGAUACUAGCAACAAUAUUGUUGCUAUUGUGUAUUUUGAUGGUUCCAUUAGUACAGCCACAAAUGAAGGUGUGACAUUUAUAUGUGAUGAACCAACAUUUUUCACAAUUUCCCAAACCAUGUCCUUCGUGGAACUAAACGCUGGUCUUUGUCAAGAUAUAAAUGGCGGCAGUAAAAGGGAAGUGGUGAAAAUAAAAUACAGGUGUCCAAUAUCAAUUGUUAAUGGAAAUAUAAAAUAUCAAGCAGUUAAAAUAAGCAGUGACAAUGAUAUGAGACUACUGUGUAUGACAUAUAGACAGUUUCAACCACACAUUACUGUCAUUGAGCUAUAUGUAGAGUUUGAAGAUGUUGCUAAAGCCAAUGACGAUGGAGCUGGUCCCAGUUCAUGUCCGGUCAAAGAGCAGUGCGAUGAAGAAGUUCCGACACCAUGUCCAGCUAAUCAGCAGUGCAAUGAAACAGUUUUGAGAUCAUGUUCAGCUAACAAGCAGUGCGAUGAAACAGUUCCGUGUUUAUCUCCAGCUAACCAUCAGUGUGAUGAAACAGUUCCUAGUUCAUAUCCACAACUUGAAGAAGUUAAGCCAAGCCCAUUUCCAAUAAGAGGUACAGAGUGUGAAAUUAACAAUAGUGAAAGUGAUACUUUCUUAGAACAAGAACAUAGAAGUGGUGGCAAUGGUGCAGAUGAUACUGAUGGUUGUGAAGAUGAGGAGAAUGUACCAAAUAGAGUGGCUAUUGAGCAUCCAUUCGAGCCUGUACCAUUCAUGCGUACUUUAGAUCUUGAAGCUAUGCAUGCCCCUGAGUUUCCACAGUAUGUAAAUGUGAGUAAGAAUUAUGCUGCAAAUGGUGAAUUGUGUGUUGGAAUGCUAUUCAAGAAUAAAGAGGGUGUAGUACAAGCAAUUAAAAAUUACAGUUUAUCUAAAUCAGUGGAUUACAAAGUUCACGAGUCAGAACCAGCAACUUUUUAUUGCAAGUGCAAGUACUUUGGUUCAGGGUGCAAAUGGCUUGUUAGGGUCAGUUUCAUAAAGAAUAAGGAUGUUUGGGAAAUCAGGAGAUACAAUGGACCACACACCUGUAACUUGGAGAUGGCCUCUCAAGACCAUACAAAGUUGGAUUCUGACAUGAUUGCACAACAUAUAGGGCCUAUGGUCCGAGAUGAUCCAUCUUUCAAUGUAAAUCAUGUGAUUUCAGAGAUUCAAUCUUGGUAUGGAUACACAACAACAUACCGUAAAGCAUAUCUGGCAAAACAAAAGGCAAUUGAAAAUAUUUAUGGUAGUUGGGAGGGCUCAUUUGAAAUUCUGCCGAAAUGGUUGGAAGCAUUGUCUCUUAUUGUUCACGGUUCAAUUGUUGAACUUGAAACACUACCAGCCUACCAUGGCACUGAGCUGUUGCCGAAUGUUCGAUUAUUCCAUCGAUUGUUUUGGACAUUUGGGCCUUGCAUUAAAGCGUUUGAACAUUGCAAACCAAUAGUCCAGGUAGAUGGGACACAUUUGCAUGGAAAAUAUGAAGGGACUUUAUUGGUUGCAGUUGCACAAGAUGGCAAUAAAAGUCUAUUGCCAAUCGCUUUUGCAAUUGUUGAUGAUGAGACCGUAGAUGCAUGGUAUUUUUUUCUAUAUAACCUACGUAAGCAUGUAGUGAUGAAGGAUGGGGUUACCAUCAUUUCUGAUGACCACGAGUCAAUUAAAACAGCAAUAAAACGAUGCCAUGAUAUGUGGGCACCACCGAAAGCAUUUCACAUGUAUUGCAUUCGACACAUAGCUUCUAAUUUCUUGAGGAAAUUUGAGAAGCCCUACUUGCAUCGACUUGUUGUGAGCAUAGGGUAUUCAAGGACUGAGCGUGAAUAUAAUUACCACUACAAGCAAAUGCGUCAACAUGGCGAUGCAUAUAUCAAGUGGCUUGAUGAAAUUCCACGAGAAAAGUGGGUUCAAGCCUUUGAUGGUGGACACCGAUAUGGACAUAUGACGACGAAUCUUGUUGAAUGUAUAAGUUCUGUGUUAAAAGGGGUUCGUAAUCUUCCCAUUGCAGCCUUGGUUAGAGCAACAUACCUUCGGUUGUGUGAGUUGUUUGCUUCCAAAAGUAGAGAGGUAUAUGCCCGAAAAGAUACGGGAAACGUUUUCUCAGAAAUGCUCAUGACACGCCUACAAGAAAACCAGCUUGCAGCUGAAAGUGUACUUGUUACUACAUUUGUAAGUGAAAAUGAGAUAUUUUAUGUUCAAGAACCAUCAAGCAAGGAAGAACUAAAAGUUGAUUUAAGGCAUGGAUACUGUGACUGUGGUGAUUUUCAAACUGAUCGAUAUCCAUGCCCUCAUGUAAUUGCGUGCUGCUCCAAUCAAAACAUCAAUUGGGAAGUUUAUGUUAAUGAUAUUUAUAGGAUUGAUAAAGUUUGCAAGGUGUAUGAGAAAGAGUUUGAGGUGGUGGGGCAUCAAAAUACAUGGCCAGUAUAUAAUGGCCCAAGAAUUCAGCCGAACUCCUUGUCAAAGCGCAAUAUGAAAGGUCGGCCCAAAUCAACUAGUUUUCUAAACGAAAUGGAUGAGCGUGAAAUACACCAACUCAAGCGUCGCCGUCGUGAAGGACUUAGAGGCAAACGAGUUCGACGCAGAGUUAAGUCAAGUUUGCAGUUAUGACUUGGAAUGAGAGAACUAAGGAAACCGGCUUGAUUUCUUUACCUUGAGAACCAUGAUGGAUAAAUCUUGAUGCUUUACUUCCCAAAACCUUGGAAUGGUAUCACUGGCGAACUGAUUGUAUUACUUUGAUCUGGGAGAGAGGAGUUUCUCCAUGACGCCCACCUGCGCCACGGUCAUGACUCACCGUUAAGUCUUCACCCCAAUCUCGUUCUACUAGGAGGGUGCUAGCCUUGUAUUUCUAUGAUAAUGUUAAAAAUAAAAUAUGCAGAAGAUGAAAAAGGAUCAAAUUCUUCACCAAGAAUGUUUUGAACAACUAGAAUGUUGCUACAGAUCAGAAUCAUAGAAGGAUUAAACAACGAAAGAAAACCAGGAGCGAAAUAAUUCAACAAGUUAGACAUGUGACUCGGUGCUAAGUAAGGUGUAUGGUUCACAAGUUGAGCUAGAAGCAGCUUGAAGAAACUUUGGUGUUAAUUUGCCUUAAAGUAUGGUUUUCAUCCUAAUAUGAAUGUGAAAGAAACUCGAGAACAUUUGAAAGUGCAAAUGGAGUUUAUCGUGCUACUCAAAUCCAAUUUCUCUUUUGACUAAAUCUAGUAGUAAUGUUUCUUUAAUUUUAUGCUUUUCCUUUUUAUGUUUCAUUUUUAGGCCAACAUUAAUACUUUGACCUUGAGUGAACACCCAAUUCGAUCUCUCUUCAUUAUUUCGAAGGACAGGACGAAGUCUUCCCUAACAGAGAAAGACUCAUUUCAGUUCUAGUCCCUUAAUAACAUGAUUUUUCCGUCAUUUUUUACUGUUAAUUCGCAAUGAAAAUUGCUUAGGUGACAGGUUUAGGUGAUAAGU